CUCAAACACUGCUCCCACAAACCCCACCCACACGUCUCUCCCCUGCAGCUGAGCCUACACCAUGCCCCAUCAGCUUACUCAAAGACAGCCCUGAUGAAACCAAAGUGUGUUUGAGGUGAGCCACAGGCUCUUGUGGUUUGAUGACCUAGACUUUCUCCUGAUGGAGAAAACAGACGCCCAUUUCAAUCAGACCCCCCCACCUGCCACUCAUCUACCUCCUGUUGUUGAGCUUGAGUGGGUGGAUCGAGGUGGGGCUCAUUCCAUGUAGAGCAUAACAGAUCCUGAGAUCAACCCUACAGGGCAACCAGUUACCUGGUUGACAUCAUCAUCAUCCCCCUGGACAACUUGACACCAGGAAGUGACGUAACCAUAAGAUGUUAAAAAUAGACACAAGGGACCCAGGACACCAGACGUGGUUCAAGGGAAUGUUCUCUGAGGUCGAAUACUAAUGGGUUUUGUGGCUCCAUGUGUCUGUUCUCCUGUUUUGUGUCUUUUACAUAACACGACAGGUCAUAUUUCUUCACAGGAAUCUUAAACUAAUCAGCCAAUCUUUGCUAGUGUCAGCAGGAAACUUCAACAGACGUACGGGCAGCAUGGUUACUGUUUCUAAUUUGAUGUGUAAUGGAAGUUUGUGGCCUGUAAGGAAGAAUUAACUCAUGCUCAUCUUAUCUGAUUAGCCCGCUGGAACUGUAGAACUCACCUGCCAACAAGCUGUUGUCUGUUCAGCUCACUGGUUUCGGUCCUUUCACAGCUGCUGAGCCAAACCGAAAACGUGUUCAUUGAUAAUCAGUGAACUAAAUAAAAUGACAAAGCGAGAGCUGUAUUUGUCCGGAGGGUUUUAAACGAGCUCAGAGACAGUGAUGACAGACCAAUGAAAGUUUCUUCCUGUACUGAUAAGAUAGAGACUCCCCGGCUAUUUGAUUCCUGUGAGUAUCAGUCUCUUGUGACUUAGAUUUCAUAUGUAGUAAUGAACACAGAAAUUAUAUAAUUGGCCAAAAAAGGUCUUUAAAGCUCCUGUAAGAAUUUUUAGCUAUU